rnacentral:lncRNA from 1 species
CUUCGGUGAAGGAAUGUCUGAAGAAAAUUUCAUUUCUCAGUACAUAUUUCUGAGCUUGUUUGGGAGUGACAGUAAUGGCAUUACAAGGUAUUGGAGCGCUGCUCCUGGAAGCUAGCAGAGAGGCCACAGCAGUGUGAAAAUCUCCUGCAAAUCUGUUGAACAUCUUCAGCUCCCAGAGCUGCCACUCUGCACCAGCUCCCACGACUUCAUGCAGACUGCCUCAGGCCAGAGACAAGACACUCCACCUGGUGUCCAUGUGGGUGCAGCCCCGACGUACAGGAGAAUGAACACUCUGUUGUGAAUCUUUGUCCAACGGGAGAUGGGUACCUGUGGAUAAAGUCUCUUCUUUCCCAUCUUCCUAUGGAUGAUCUUGAGGGUCUGGUUAUACAGCUUCCUGGACAGUACUGUGGGGAUCAGCCCGAUAAUGCAUUUGUGUGGGCUCUCCUUCCUUC